AUUGAACGCUGGCGGCAUGCCUUACACAUGCAAGUCGAACGGCAGCAUGAUCUAGCUUGCUAGAUUGAUGGCGAGUGGCGAACGGGUGAGUAAUACAUCGGAACGUGCCCUGUAGUGGGGGAUAACUAGUCGAAAGAUUAGCUAAUACCGCAUACGACCUGAGGGUGAAAGUGGGGGACCGCAAGGCCUCAUGCUAUAGGAGCGGCCGAUGUCUGAUUAGCUAGUUGGUGAGGUAAAGGCUCACCAAGGCGACGAUCAGUAGCUGGUCUGAGAGGACGAUCAGCCACACUAGGACUGAGACACGGCCCAGAAUCCUACGGGAGGCAGCAGUGGGGAAUUUUGGACAAUGGGCGAAAGCCUGAUCCAUCAAUGCCGCGUGUGCGAAGAAGGCCCUCGGGUUGUAAAGCACUUUUGUCCGGAAAGAAAUGGCUCUGGUUAAUACCUGGGGUCGAUGACGGUACCGGAAGAAUAAGGACCGGCUAACUACGUGCCAGCCGCCGCGGUAA
rnacentral:rRNA from 1 species